rnacentral:rRNA from 1 species
ACCGCAUACGCCCUGAGGGGGAAAGUGGGGGAUCGCAAGACCUCACGUUAUUCGAGCGGUCGACGUCUGAUUAGCUAGUUGGUGGGGUAAUGGCUCACCAAGGCGACGAUCAGUAGCGGGUCUGAGAGGAUGAUCCGCCACACUGGGACUGAGACACGGCCCAGACUCCUACGGGAGGCAGCAGUGGGGAAUUUUGGACAAUGGGGGCAACCCUGAUCCAGCCAUUCCGCGUGAGUGAAGAAGGCCUUCGGGUUGUAAAGCUCUUUCAGCAGGAACGAAACGGUAGGGGCUAAUACCCUCUGCUAAUGACGGUACCUGCAGAAGAAGCACCGGCUAACUACGUGCCAGCAGCCGCGGUAAUACGUAGGGUGCGAGCGUUAAUCGGAAUUACUGGGCGUAAAGCGUGCGCAGGCGGAUUGUUAAGCAAGACGUGAAAUCCCCGGGCUUAACCUGGGAAUGGCGUUUUGAACUGGCAGUCUAGAGUGUGUCAGAGGGGGGUGGAAUUCCACGUCUAGCAGUGAAAUGCGUAGAGAUGUGGAGGAACACCAAUGGCGAAGGCAGCCCCCUGGGAUAACACUGACGCUCAUGUACGAAAGCGCGGGUAGCAAACAGGAUUAGAUACCCUGGUAGUCCACGCCCUAAACGAUGUCAACUGGUUGUUGGGGGAGUGAAAUCCCUUAGUAACGAAGCUAACGCGUGAAGUUGACCGCCUGGGGAGUACGGUCGCAAGAUUAAAACUCAAAGGAAUUGACGGGGACCCGCACAAGCGGUGGAUGAUGUGGAUUAAUUCGAUGCAACGCGAAAAACCUUACCUACCCUUGACAUGUCCAGAAUCCUGCAGAGAUGCGGGAGUGCCCGAAAGGGAAUUGGAACACAGGUGCUGCAUGGCUGUCGUCAGCUCGUGUCGUGAGAUGUUGGGUUAAGUCCCGCAACGAGCGCAACCCUUAUCAUUAGUUGCUACGCAAGGGCACUCUAAUGAGACUGCCGGUGACAAACCGGAGGAAGGUGGGGAUGACGUCAAGUCCUCAUGGCCCUUAUGGGUAGGGCUUCACACGUCAUACAAUGGUCGGUACAGAGGGUUGCCAAGCCGCGAGGUGGAGCCAAUCCCAGAAAGCCGAUCGUAGUCCGGAUUGUUCUCUGCAACUCGAGAGCAUGAAGUCGGAAUCGCUAGUAAUCGCGGAUCAGCAUGUCGCGGUGAAUACGUUCCCGGGUCUUGUACACACCGCCCGUCACACCAUGGGAGUGGAAUCUGCCAGAAGUAGGUAGCCUAACCGCAAGGAGGGCGCUUACCACGGUGGGUUUCAUGACUGGGGUGAAGUCGAAACAAGGUA